rnacentral:hammerhead_ribozyme from 1 species
AUCUACCUGACGAGUCCCAAAUAGGACGAAACACGUGUCUUGGAU